AACGAACGCUGGCGGCAGGCCUAACACAUGCAAGUCGAGCGCGCCCUUCGGGGUGAGCGGCGGACGGGUGAGUAACGCGUGGGAACGUGCCCUUUUCUACGGAAUAGCCUCGGGAAACUGAGAGUAAUACCGUAUACGCCCUUUGGGGGAAAGAUUUAUCGGAAAAGGAUCGGCCCGCGUUGGAUUAGGUAGUUGGUGGGGUAAUGGCCUACCAAGCCGACGAUCCAUAGCUGGUUUGAGAGGAUGAUCAGCCACACUGGGACUGAGACACGGCCCAGACUCCUACAGGAGGCAGCAGUGGGGAAUCUUAGACAAUGGGGGCAACCCUGAUCUAGCCAUGCCGCGUGAGUGAUGAAGGCCUUAGGGUUGUAAAGCUCUUUCAGCUGGGAAGAUAAUGACGGUACCGGCAGAAGAAGCCCCGGCUAACUCCGUG
rnacentral:rRNA from 1 species